rnacentral:rRNA from 1 species
CUAACGAGCGCAACCCUCGUCGUACUGUUAUAUGUGUCAUACGAGACGUGCCGGUAAAAGCCGGAGGAAGGUGAGGAUGAUGUCAAGUCAGGCAUGACCUUUAUAUCCAGGGCUACACCACACGCUACAAUGGUACUGUACAAUGGGUAGCCAAGCCGCGAGGCGGAGCCAAUCCUGAAAGCAGGCCUCAAGUUCAGAUUGCAGUCUGCAACUCGACUGCAUGAAGCCGGAGUUGCUAGUAACCGCAGGUCAGCAAUACUGCGGUGAAUACGUUCCCGGGUCUU